ensembl:lncRNA
AUAUACAUUAACAUCUGAAGAUAUAGGCAUGGUAAUAUGUGUGGAAUGUUCUUAUAUACCAAGUGAACAAGUUGCUGCUUCUUCUGACGCAUCUCAACUUUACAUAAACAACAAUGCAAAGGAUUUAAAAGAUAAUAAUACUAGCAACAAUAAUCAAACGCAUUGUAAUGUUAAUAAUGACACAUCUAUAAAUAGCAGUAGUAGUAGUAGUGGUAGUAACAGUGGUUAUAACACCAUUCAUAAUAAUGUAUAUACAAAAUCAAACGUUUCUACACAAAAUAAGUCAAAUUGUAGUAGUAUCCAAAAUAAAAAUUGUAACAGUAAAUAUUAUGGAGUAUCAAAAGCAGAAAUAGGACCUAUAAAUUUAAGUGAAAAAACAAAAAUAAUGUUAGAAGAUAUAAUACAUAAUGACACUAUUCAAUAUCCUAUAUAUAUAUUAAAAAAAGUAGAUAACAAUAGUCCUAGUAAUAGUAGUAUUUAUAAUAAUCAUACUAUUAAUAAUAGUAAUAACAGUAGUUGUGAUAAUAUAAAAAGAUAUGACAAUAAUAACAUGAGUUAUAAUAAUCGUUACGACACUUAUGACAAUAAUCAAAAAUAUAUAAAAAACUUUAAUAAUAUAACAUUCAAUGAAAGUUUUAAUAAUAAUUCUUUUUAUACAUAUAAUAAUAAUAACAAUAAUAAUAAUAUGAGCAAUAACAAUCCGGAUAAUAAUAAGAAUUACAAUAGCAAUGAACGUUUAAGUACUUAUAACGAAGAAGAAAACGAAGAAGAAAACGAAAACGAUACCAUUUAUAUGUUACAUAUACAUAAGAACGAAAUAAAAAUAAUUAAUCAGAAUAAUAAAAAAAAAAAUUUUUGGUCUUAUAGUUAUAAUACCAUUUACCCUUAUGUUCAAUUUAUAGAUAAAAAUAAAAAUGAUUUUCUAUUAUAUACAAAUAAAAAUGAAUACUUAUAUUGUAGAUGCUUAUAUAGAAAGCAUCUUGACCUUAUUUCUAUUCUUCUCAAAUACAUGCAUGCUAAUUUAAUUAUUAUAAAUGAGUAUAUUUUUAAUAACAUUAAUGACAACUUUGAAAAAACAAGAGUCAAAAACAUUUUUAAUAAUGUUGAUGUCAAUUAUAUAUUAGAAAAUAUAAAUAAAGAAUUACUAGUUAAUCAAAAACUGAACCAACAGUAUAAAAAUAAACUAGCUAAAAUACAAACUGAAAAAAAUAUACUUGAAGAGGACAUGAAAAAUACAAUAGAGGCUUUUCAAAUGCAGUUGGAUACCGUAAAAAAAGUUAAAGAUGAAAACGAGUUGGUUAAAAAAAACGAAAGGUUAAUGAAAGAAAUAGAAAUCUUACAAGAGAAAUAUAGGAACGUGGAUUUAUUUUUUAAAAAUAAAUACGAGCUUUUAUUAAACGACAUUGAAAAAUAUAAAAAAAUUGUCCAAGAAAAUAAGUCUAAGACAAAUUCGAAUGAGGAAGAGAAACUACGAACAAAGCUGCAAAGUGUUGAAAAGGAAAAGGUUAGUAACAAUAGUAAUAGUAUUAAUCAUAUUUUAAAGUAAU